rnacentral:lncRNA from 1 species
GGUACUCAUACAUGUAUUUUACAUGUAACGGCUUAAAAAAAGCCUCCCAAUUUCUUCUCAACAGUUAACAAACAUUCAUAGUCGAACAUACUGAGGCAUAUAUGAGUUUGGAUUAGAAAUACGACGACCGGACACGCUUAGCAUACAAAAAUAUAUGUUGCAUAUGUAGGAACCCACCUUGUUGUGCAAUCCAAGGGGAUGGGGGUCCUAGAGCUGGAACCCCCCUUUUUAACGGUUUAUGUUUUUGAAUGGGAACAUAUGACUGGAACCCUCUUUUUAUCUUGGGUUGGCUACCCC